UCUCUGGUAGUAUAUCGGUUAGUACACGCGCCUGUCAUGGUCCUUGAUCCCGAAAAGUGUUCGCGCGAAAGCUGGGUUCGACUCCCAGCCAGAGAG